UACGUAGGAUGCAAGCGUUGUCCGGAAUUAUUGGGCGUAAAGAGCGCGCAGGCGGUAUGACAAGUCAGAUGUGAAAGAGGCCGGCUUAACCGGCAAGGGUCAUUUGAAACUGUCAGACUAGAGUGCAGCAGAGGAUAGUGGAAUUCCCGGUGUAGUGGUGAAAUGCGUAGAUAUCGGGAGGAACACCAGUGGCGAAGGCGACUAUCUGGGCCUUACCUGACGCUGAGGAGCGAAAGCGUGGGGAGCAAACAGG
rnacentral:rRNA from 1 species